rnacentral:rRNA from 1 species
UACAGAGGGCAGCUACCCAGCAAUGGGAUGCGAAUCUCGAAAGCCUGUCUCAGUUCGGAUUGGAGGCUGAAACCCGCCUCCAUGAAGUUGGAUUCGCUAGUAAUCGCGCAUCAGCCAUGGCGCGGUGAAUACGUUCCCGGGCCUUGUACACACCGCCCGUCAAGCCAUGGGAGCCGGGGGUGCCUGAAGUUCGUGACCGCAAGGAGCGACCUAGGGCAAAACUGGUGACUGGGGCUAAGUCGUAACAAGGUACC